rnacentral:rRNA from 1 species
CGGCGGACGGGUGAGUAACGCGUGGAUAACCUGCCUCACACAGGGGGAUAACAGUUAGAAAUGACUGCUAACACCGCAUAAGCGCACGGUACCGCAUGGUACAGUGUGAAAAACUCCGGUGGUGUGAGAUGGAUCCGCGUCUGAUUAGGUAGUUGGUGAGGUAACGGCCCACCAAGCCGACGAUCAGUAGCCGACCUGAGAGGGUGACCCGGCCACAUUGGGACUGAGACACGGCCCAAACUCCUACGGGAGGCAGCAUG